rnacentral:rRNA from 1 species
UAUUGGUCAAUGGACGCGAGUCUGAACCAGCCAAGCAGCGUGAAGGUUGACCGCCCUAUGGGCUGUAAACUUCCUUUAUAUGGGAAUAAAGGUUUCCACGUGUGGAAUUUUGUAUGUACCAUAUGAAUAAGCAUCGGCUAACUGCGUGCCAGCAGCCGCGGUAAUACGGAGGAUCCGAGCGUUAUCCGGAUUUAUUGGGUUUAAAGGGAGCGUAGGUGGACAGUUAAGUCAGUUGUGAAAGUUUGCGGCUCAACCGUAAAAUUGCAGUUGAUACUGGCUGUCUUGAGUACAGUAGAGGUGGGCGGAAUUCGUGGUGUAGCGGUGAAAUGCUUAGAUAUCACGAAGAACUCCGAUUGCGAAGGCAGCUCACUGGACUGCAACUGACACUGAUGCUCGAAAGUGUGGGUAUCAAACA